rnacentral:rRNA from 1 species
UACGGAGGGUGCGAGCGUUGUCCGGAUUUAUUGGGUUUAAAGGGUGCGUAGGCGGCCGCGUAAGUCUGGGGUGAAAGCCCGUUGCUCAACAACGGAACUGCCCUGGAAACUGCGCGGCUUGAGUCCAGACGAGGUUGGCGGAAUGGGCGGUGUAGCGGUGAAAUGCAUAGAUACCGUCCAGAACCCCGAUUGCGAAGGCAGCUGACUAGGCUGGUACUGACGCUGAGGCACGAAAGCGUGGGGAGCGAACAGG